UACAGAGGUCUCAAGCGUUGUUCGGAUUCAUUGGGCGUAAAGGGAGCGUAGGUGGUGGGGCACGUCAGGUGUGAAAUCUCGGGGCUCAACCCCGAAACUGCACUUGAUACUGCCUUGCUAGAGUACUGGAGAGGAGAUUGGAAUUUACGGUGUAGCAGUGAAAUGCGUAGAUAUCGUAAGGAAGACCAGUGGCGAAGGCGAAUCUCUGGACAGUUACUGACACUGAGGCUCGAAGGCCAGGGGAGCAAACGGG
rnacentral:rRNA from 1 species